rnacentral:rRNA from 1 species
AUGGAGUUCGCGCACGCCGUCUCUUUGCUCGUUAUACUCUCGCUCCGGACCGUACCGGCCGCCACGACAGCCGCUGUGCCGGUGCGAGCCGGCGUCCAGGAUCCGGCAGACGGCGCUAGCACGGGGGGCCGCGGAGGCAUCGCAGUGGCGCCGGGGGCCUACCACCUGGACCGGCUUCCCGGUGGCUCACCCGAAGAUGCUACACCGGCUGAAAUCGAGAGAAGGAACACCAGAAUAUUAUCGAGGAGAGACACAGGAGGUUCGACCAGAGGCUAUUCGAAGAAACUCAAGAUUGCUGUGCCUUACAAUCCGGGCUUUAACGUUUUUGUGAAUGCAACUACUUCAAAAGUCACUGGCUACUGCAUUGACGUCUUUGAGGCUGCCGUGAAGAACCUACCACAUGUUCUUGAUUACGACUUCGUUGUAGUCGACGGUUUGUAUGACCAAAUAGUGCGCAAUGUGUCUUCAGGGAUCUUUGAUGCAGCAGUGGGUGACAUAACCAUAACUGCCGAGCGAGCUGUUCAUGUGGACUUCACGAUGCCAUACAUUGAGUCGGGCGUGUCAUUGCUUGUGCUCAACGAGGAUGACUCCAAGCCAACAAUUGAAUGGGUCUUCUUAAAGCCACUGACAAUGGAACUUUGGUUAGCAAUUAGCUACACAGCUAGCUUAUCAUCCAUUCUGACUGCAAAGAGGCUCCGGCCUUCUGUGACAAAUCUUGGCCAGCUCCUAUCAGAUGGUGAUUAUAUUGGAUACCCAUCUGGAUCAUUUGUAUAUUCUGUCUUGAAAAAACAAGGCUUCGCCAAAAAUAGGUUAAAGGCCUAUGCGAUGGAAGAGGAAUAUGCUAAUGCUUUGAGAAAGGGCUCAAAGAAUGGAGGUGUCGCGGCUAUAGUUGAUGAGCUCCCCUAUUUAACCUCUUUUCUCUCUGACCCUCGAUAUCAUAACGAGUUCCAGAUGGUUAACGGCUUAUAUAAGACACCUGGAUUUGGUUUUGUGUUUCCACAAGAUUCUCCACUGGUACAUAGUCUUUCAGUUGCCAUCUUGGGCCUGAUAGGUGGGGAUGAGGGAUCACGAAUUGAAGCAAAAUGGAUUGCCAAGUUGGUUCAUGCCAAAUACACCAAAGUGAGGCAUUCUGAUAUGCAGAGUGCCGAUGGGGAUGGUGGAAGUGAAGGCCACGGAGGAUCUGUUACGCUGCAGAAUGACAUGGGCGACAGGCCUACGGAUGAUCAACCCCACCAUGAAGCCAGAUAUGAGGAUCCCCAGGGUGUCAGCGGGAUCAGAGAAAGUCCUGGUGAUGUAGAGCCCAAUGGAUCUGUGCCCGAAUACGCCAUCCUAAUCGAGAUGAGCACUCAAUGA